rnacentral:rRNA from 1 species
GCGGUGGAUGAUGUGGUUUAAUUCGAUGCAACGCGAAAACCUUACCCACCUUGACAUGUACGGAAUUUGCCAGAGAUGGCUUAGUGCUCGAAAGAGAGCCGUAACACAGGUGCUGCAUGGCUGUCGUCAGCUCGUGUCGUGAGAUGUUGGGUUAAGUCCCGCAACGAGCGCAACCCUUGUCAUUAGUUGCUACGAAAGGGCACUCUAAUGAGACUGCCGGUGACAAACCGGAGGAAGGUGGGGAUGACGUCAAGUCCUCAUGGCCCUUAUAGGUGGGGCUACACACGUCAUACAAUGGCCGGUACAAAGGGUCGCAAACCCGCGAGGGGGAGCUAAUCCAUCAAAGCCGGUCGUAGUCCGGAUCGCAGUCUGCAACUCGACUGCGUGAAGUCGGAAUCGCUAGUAAUCGUGGAUCAGCAUGUCACGGUGAAUACGUUCCCGGGUCUU